AUGUCUACAUCAGAGGGUUCGGAGAGUGCUGAUUCCAUGGGUGAGACAAGUCAAGUACCACAUGCUAGAAGGUCCAAGGUAUGGGAGCAUUAUGAAGUAGAUCUGGUUCUCGUAGAUGGUGAUCUCAAGGAUGUGUGCAAAUACUGUGGAGUGCAACUUCACACCAAGUUUGGGACAAGCAGUUUG
rnacentral:rRNA from 1 species